GCUUACGGCCACACCGGCCUGUGUACGCCUGAUCUCGUCCGAUCUCGGAAGCUAAGCAGGGUCGGGCCUGGUUAGUACUUGGAUGGGAGACCGCCUGGGAAUACCAGGUGCUGUAAGCU
rnacentral:rRNA from 1 species